GAGGUAGGUUAUGGUUUAAUUGGUGUUUAGACUCGACUUAAUUGUGUGUAUACUCCUAAAUUGGAUACUUGUAGAUUGGUAUUCGGGCAUGCUUGAAAUGGUUGAUGUUUGGAUUGUUGAUUCGUGUAUAAAUAUUUAUUGAAAAUUGACUUGAUGGAAUUGUCUUAUGACUUUAACUGUACUUGUAAACUUGGUGUUGCAUACUGUGAGGUUGUGUAAAUUGAUAUUGAUAAUACUUGUUUAUAUUUAUGUUGGAUCGGGUACCACGCCGGUACGUUUAUAUUUACGUUGGAUCGAGUACCAUACUGGUACGUUUAUAUUUAUGUUGUAUCGGGUACCACGCCGGUACGUUUAAAUUUAUGUUAGAUCGGGUACCACGCCAGUACGGAUAUGUAUAUGUUGGAUCGGGUACCACGCCGGUACGGUACAUGAACAUGGAUUGUUCCCUGCAGGUCAUGACUAUUUGGGCAAAAAUAAGUCCCAUAGCAUGUGUGUACAUACUUGUGUUGAUUCUGUGGAUGCUUACCGUAUGGUUGAUACUCUUGAUAGUUAUGUGGCUUGUUUGUGAGCACUGUUGACCUGUUAUUGUUGUAUUGUUGAUUUGAUGAGAAUUUGUUAUUUGAUGAUGCCUGUCUACUUGUUUUUCUAAUUAUGUUGUGUACAUCCUAUUAAGUUGAGUUGGCUUAUGAUGCCUACCAGUACAUAGUGAUUUGUACUAAUACUACCUCGUACUCUUCUUUUGUUGAGUGCAGAAAGUUUUCCAGAGGCUCAAAUACGACCUCACCUCUAGUGUUGAUAGCAGAUCUUGAUCCGAAGGGUGAGCACUCCGUCUUCAGGCUGCCACAGGUCAUGUUAUUUGUUAUUGUCCAUCUUUCGGGCAAUGAAACAUUCCUUAUUUACUUUAUUUGGAGUUUUCUUCAGACAUGAUUUGUUAGUAGUUCUUGUAUGAUGAUCUUUGGGUCUUGAGGAUUUUAGUAAACAUUUUAUUUGACUUCCGCAUUAAUAAUGAUUAGUCCUGAAUUAUUAGUAUUAUGUUGAUUUUAUGAUAUCAUCUUGACUAAGUGCUUGGGUAAAGGUUCGGUUUAGAUGGUUCUCCCACAAGAAGAUUAGUGUGGGUGCCACUCAUGGCCUUUUGGGUCGUGACAAAGUUGGUAUCAGAGCCUAGGUUCAUCGAUCUCGUAGUACAAAAACAUGUCUAGUAGAGUCUUGCGAAACGGUACGGAGACGUCUGUACUUUUCUUCGAGAGGCUAUAGGGAAAUAGGAAAAUUCAAAUUCUUCUUUCUUACAUGCUAUUACUUGAUUUCAAUUGGUAUCUGACGAUUUCAAUUGGUAUCUGACUUCUUUCACUCUUAUUCUCGCAGAUGGUAAGAACACGAAAGAAUGGGGCAAGAGGAGGACGUGGCGGAGGAAGGAGAGCAGCGCCCGCCAUGGGCAGAGCUCAAGCUACGGGGCCAGCUAGAGAGAGGCCAAUAUCUCCUCCCCACAUGAGGAUUUGCCCGAGGUUGUAGAGGAUGGAGCUAUACCAGUACAGGAAGAACGAGUGCCGGCUCAUGAUGGGGUUGCACCAGCUCAGGAAGGUGCAGCUCCGAUUCAGAUGUCUCCCGCCGUGAUUCAACAGGUUCUGAGUUUUCUGAGUGGUUUGGCAGGGUCAAGGUCUAUGCUCGUAGCACCUGUAGUCCAACCUGGGAUGCAGCAUGCUGCUGCUGUAGCCCCUCGGAUGGAAGAAGAGUUAGGAGCAGAUGUUUUUCCAAGACAGGUUGUGGGUCCAGUGACGACCGGAGAUGAGCAUGAGUUGUUCUGUAAGUUAAUCAAGAUGAAGACCCCUGUCUUUCACGGAACUGAGUCGGAGGAUGCCUACGAGUUUAUUAUUGACUGUCAUGAGAGGCUACAUAAGAUGGGGGUGGUUGAGAGGUAUGGCGUAGAACUGGUUACUUUCCAAUUCCAGGGGGAUGCUAAGAUGUGGUGGAGGCCCUAUGUUGAGUGUAGGGAUCCACAGCUUUGCCUCCCUUGACUUGGACACAGUUUUACACAGUUUUUCUAGAAAAGGGCGUGCCUCGUACUUUGAGAGAUAGAAAAAGGGAUGAAUUUGCUAAUCUUAAGAAGGGGAACAUGUCAGUUGCGGCCUAUGAGGCCAAAUUUCAUUCAUUGUCUCGGUAUGCAUCUCAUUUGUUGAAAAUUGAAGAGGAGAGGAUCCGUCAUUUUGUGAAGGGGUUAAAUACAGGUCUUCAAAUUUCUGCUCUUCAGAUGACAUCGUCAGGUAGGUCUUUUCAGGAGAUGGUUGAUUUUGUCAAAAAGAUGGAGGGCGUAAGGCAAGAGGGUUAUGCUAAAGCAUUAAAAAAGAAGGCCCGCAGAGGAGGCAGCUUUAGUGGUUCUUAUUCUAGGGGUCAGGGUUCACAGGGAUACCCUACCCGCCCCAUUCAGUCAGCGAUGCCGGUGUCUGUGGGUGGUCCGUCAGGAGCUAUCCAGCCAUUUCCAUACUCUGGUGGUUACCUCGCUUCAUCUUCGUCAGCUCAACGGCCUACCUUGGACCGUACAUGUUACGAGUGUGGCGAAGUGGGUCAUGAUAAGAGGUUUUGUCCUAAUGCAAGGCAGUUUGGUCAGUCUAUCCCACAGCAGGCUCCUGGAGCUCUCGUUUCGACAAGUAGGAGAGGUGGUAGUAAUGGUAGAGGUCGUUCAUAGGGUGGUCGUGUGGUCAUCAAGCAGGUAGGGGUGGUAAUCAGCCCUAUCAAGGUGGUUCUCAGCUUGGCAGGGGUGACGUGCAAACUGGUGGUAGGGCCCAUAUCUAUGCCUUUCCAGGCAGGCCCGAGGCAGACGCAUCAGACAUUAUUAUAGGUACUAUUCUUGUUUGUGACAAAAUGGACACUGUAUUAUUUGAUCCCGGCUCUACUUUUUCCUACGUGUCUGCUAACUUUGCUGUGGGAUUGGACAGUGUGUGUGAUUUUCUUGACUUUCUGAUUCACGUGUCUACUCAUGUUGGUGAUUCUGUUGUUGUUGAUAGAGUUUAUCAUUCUUGUUCUGUUAUGUUUAUAGGGUAUCAACUUGGGCAGAUUUAGUAAUUCUAGACAUGGUAGAUUUUGAUAUAAUUUUGGGUAUGGGUUGGUUGUCCCCGUAUCAUGCUUUAUUAGAUUGUCAUCCUAAGACAGUGACUGUGGCUAUGCCAGGAAUAGAUAGACUUAAGUGGUGGGGGGGGGGGGGAUUAUAGUCCUACUCCAAUGAAACUUAUUUCCUUUCUGCGUACAAAGAGGUUAAUUAGGAGAGGUUGUUUGGCCUUCCUAGCACAUCUUCGAGAUACUUCCACAGAGCUAUUGAGUCAGUUCCUGUAGUGUGUGAGUUCUAAGAGGUUUUUCCUGCAGAUUUGCCUGGUAUGCCGCCAGACCGUGACAUUGACUUCUGUAUCGAUCUAGAGCCAAGUACGCGUCCAAUUUCCGUUCCUCCUUAUAGGAUGGCUCCGGCUGAGUUGAGAGAGCUAAAGGCUCGGUUGCAGGAUUUGUUGAGUAAGGGUUUUAUCCGUCCGAGUGCCUCUCCAUGAGGUGCUCCUGUCUUGUUUGUAAAGAAGAAGGAUGGUAGUCUUCGUAUGUGUAUAGAUUACAGGCAGUUGAACAAAGUCACAAUCCGUAAUAAGUAUCCUUUGCCCUAUAUAGAUGAUUUAUUUGACCAGUUGCAGGGUGCAUCCGUAUUCUCUAAGAUUGAUUUGAGGUCUGAGUAUCAUCAGCUCAAGAUUCGGCCUGACGAUAUUCCUAAGACUGCUUUUCGAACCAGGUAUGGGCACUAUGAGUUUCUUGUGAUGUUUUUUGGGCUGACUAAUGCCCCAGCUGCUUUUAUGAGUUUGAUGAAUAGGAUAUUUAAACCCUACUUGGAUUCUUUCGUGAUUGUCUUUAUUAAUGAUAUUCUGGUUUACUCUAAGAGUAAAGAGGAGCAUGAGGAUCACAAGGAUUGUUUUGGGUUUGUUAAAAGAGAAAAAGCUUUAUGCAAAAUUCUCUACGUGUGAGUUCUGAUUGGCUUCUGUAUCCUUUUUGGGGCAUGUGGUUUCAAAGGAAGGGGUGGCAGUAGACCCUCAUAAGAUUGAAGAGGUUAAGAAUUGGGCUAGGCCUACUUCAGUGAUGGAGGUUCGUAGCUUUAUUGGCUUAGCAAGUUAUUAUCGUAGGUUCGUGAAGGGUUUGCUUCUAUUUCCACUCAUAUGACACGGUUGACUCAGAAGGAUGUGCCUUUUAUUUGGUCUGAUAAGUGUGAGGAGAGCUUUCAAAAACUCAAGACCUCUUAUUCUUUCCUUGUCGGUAAAAGGUAAGGAUUUCAUUAUUUAUUGUGAUGCCUCACGUUCUGGUUUAGGUGCUGUGAUGAUGCAGGAAAGGAAUGUUAUUGCUUAUGCUUCGAGGCAAUUGAAGCCCAAUGAGAAGAAUUAUCCCACUCAUGAUUUGGAGUUAGCUGCUGUAGUUUGUGCUCUUAAGAUAUGGAGGCAUUACUUGUAUGGGGUUCGUUGUGAAGUGUUCACUGAUCACCGCAGUUUACAGUAUGUGUUCACACAGAGGGAUUUGAAUUUGAGACAGCGUAGAUGGAUGGGAUUGCUUAAAGAUUAUGAUAUCACCAUUCUCUACCAUCCGGGGAAAGCUAAUGUGGUCGUUGAUGCACUAAGUAGGAAGUCAACAAGUAUGGGUAGUUAGGCUUAUUUGAAAGCUUAUUUGAAAGCUAGCAGGUUUCCGUUGGCUAGAGAGAUUCAGACUCUAGCUAACAAGUUUGUUCGACUUGAGGUAACUGAGAAAGAAGGAAUUCUGGUCAGCAUUGAGGCAAGGUCCACAUUUCUUGAUCAAAUCAAGGCUAAACAAUUUGAGGAUUCUAAGUUGAGCAAAAUUCGUGAUAAGGUUUCGCAGGGUGACGCCAAGGAGGCCAUUCUUGAUGGUGACGAUGUGUUGCGGAUUAAGGGGAGAGUUUGUGUACCUCGUGUUGAUGAUUUGAUUUCUACUAUUCUAGUUGAGGCUCAUUGUUCGAAGUAUUCCAUACAUCCUGGUGCAACCAAGAUGUACCGUGAUUUAAGGCAGCAUUACUGGUGGGGUCGGAUGAAGCAUGACAUAGUUGAUUGUGUUGCUAAAUGCCAGAGUUGUCAGCAGAUAAAGUACGAGCAUCAAAAGCCUGGUGGUACUCUUCAGAGCCCAUUCCUGAAUGGAAAUGGGAGAGGAUAGCUAUGGAUUUUGUUGUUGGUCUUCCCAAGAUUGGGAAAGUAUGAUUCUAUAUGGGUUAUUGUGGAUAGGUUGACGAAGUCUGCACAUUUCAUUCUAGUUCAGGUGACUUAUAAUGCAGAAAAGUUGGCCAAGAUUUAUCUUAAGCAGAUUGUUCGGUUGCAUGGGGUCCCCGUUUCUAUUAUCUCGAAUAGGGGUACUCAAUUUACUCUACCUAUUGGAAGAAGUUGCACGAGGAGUUGGGCACAAGGUUGGACCUUAGUACAGCUUUUCACCCUCAAACCGAUGGGCAGUCCGAGCGGACAAUUCAGUUAUUGGAGGAUAUGCUCCGUGCGUGUGUGAUGGAUUUUGGAGGUUAUUGGGAUCAGUUCCUACCUUUGGCCAAGUUUACAUAUAAUAACAGUUAUCAUUCGAGUAUUGACAUGGCGCCGUUUGAGGCAUUAUACGGGAGAAGGUAUAGAUCUCUCAUUGGGUGGUUUGAUGUAUUUGAGGUAAGACCAUGCGGUACUGAUCUGUUGAGGAACUCGUUAGAGAAGGUCAAGUUCAUUCGGGAGAAACUUAUAGCGGCUCAAAGUAGGCAAAAGAAGUAUGCAGAUCGAAAAGUUAGAGAUAUGCACUUUAUGGAGGGUGAGCAAAUGUUGCUCAAAGUUUCGCCCAUGAAGGGUGUUAUGCGUUUUGGGAAGCGAGAUAAGCUCAGUCCUAGAUAUAUUGGACCAUUUGAGAUUCUUUAGCGUGUGGGGCCAGUGGCCUAUAGAUUAGCUUUGCCUCCGAGUUUGUCAGGAGUUCACCCUGUGUUUCAUGUAUCGAUGCUAAGGAAGUUUCAUGGUGAUGGUAACUACAUAAUUCGUUAGGAUUCGAUCUUGUUAGAUGAAAACCUUUCUUAUGAAGAGGAACCUGUUGCUAUUCUUAAUAAAGAUGUCCGUAAGUUGAGGACUAAGGAGAUUGCGUCUGUGAAGGUCCAGUGGAAGAACCCUCCUAUUGAGGAGGCCACUUGGGAGACCGAAGCAGACAUACGUAACAAGUAUCCGCAUCUUUUUGCUGAUUCAGGUAAUUCUUUGUUUUCCCUUCUUGUCCUAUGUUUGCCUGUUCAGGGAUGAACGGUUGUUUAAUUGGUAUCUGAUGUAACGAUCCUUUCGGUCGUUUGUGGAAUUUUCUCAUCUUUUCUAUUUUAGCGCUCGGUUUGUAUACGUAGAUUAUGACUCACGGGAUGAGUAGUACAGAUUUAUGAGGAUAUAUUAACGUUUUGGGUAUUUUAGAAUAAUUAGUGAUUUAAUGGGCCAAUGUUGUGGUUUAUUUUCUUAUGUGGUCAAUAAAAGAAUUAAUUUAAGUGGAAAGAAUUUAGCAUAUUUAUUAAAAAUAAGGUCAGAUAAAUUGAGAGAUGGAGUACAGAAGUUAUGCUUAGGUUAUCUCACACAGCAUAGAAGAAAAAUAAAAGGACGACGGCUUUGGAGCAUCAUCAGGUGAAUGUACGAGUUGCUUUUAAUGAAAUUGUUUUUGAUUGAAUAGUAGUUUCCUAGUUAUGACUAUAAGGACGUGAAUCAGUAAGGGAAAUUGUUUAAUCAGUGGACGAAUUCGGAUGAAACCAUAUGAAGUGGUUUUACAAUUUGAAUAAAGUAAAGAAACCAAUUUUGUCAUUUAGUAAUGAUGACACACUACAGAAUUAGCAAGUUUAUCAUACAAUUGAUGGUUUGCACAGAUCUUCAUAGACUUAUGGACUUAUUAAUAAAAUAAAGAUAAUGUGGCUAUGUUGUUCCAGGGAAACUAAAAGUGGCGCAGCCACUGUUUCUUGUAUACUUUUCUAAGAGAAUUUUCUGUGGAAUCAAUUACUCUAUCACUGAAUAAAAUUAAGGUUUAGUCUUAGAAUUUUUAGAGUAAGAAAUUAUAAACAGGUGUUAUUAAAUUCAUAUUUCUUAAGAGGAUUAUAUGUUUGAACAGACUUUGAACGUUUCGAAAAUUUGAGGAAGGACAAGACACUUGUUGACUAGUGAUAUUUGAGCUCUUCGAUUGAGGUAGGUUAUGGUUUAAUUAGAGUUACUCGACUUAAUUGUGUGUAUACUCCUAAAUUGGAUACUUGUGGAUUGGUAUUCAAGCAUGCUUGAAAUGGUUGAUGUUUGGAUUGUUGAUUCGUGUAUAAAUAUUUAUUGAAAAUUGACUUGAUGGAAUUGUCUUAUGACUUUAAGUGUACUUGUAAACUUGGCACAUAGUGUUGUAUGCUGUGAGGUUGUGUAAAUUGAUAUUGAUAAUACUUGUUUAUAUUUAUGUUGGAUCGGGUACCACGCCGGUACGUUUAUAUUUAUGUUGGAUCGGGUACCAUGCCCGUAUGUUUAUAUUUAUGUUG
rnacentral:lncRNA from 1 species